rnacentral:lncRNA from 10 species
GGAUGAAUGGAUAAACAAAAUGCGGUAUAAACAGAAGAUGGAACAUUGUUCAGCCUUAAAAAUGAAGGACAUUCUGACACAUGCUACAGCAUGGAUGACCCUUGAAUACAUUAUGCUAAAUGAAAUAAGCUAGUGACAAAAAGAUAAGUACUGUAUGAUUCCACUUCUAUGAAGUACCUAGCGUAGUCAAAUUCAGAGACUGAAAGUAGAAUGGUGGUUGCCAGGGGCUGUGGGGAGGAGGAAAUGGGGAGUUAUUGUUUCAUGGUUCAGGGUGGUAGUUUUGCAAGAUGAGAAGAGCCAUGGAGAUGGAUGGUGGUGAUGGUUGCACAACAGCCAGUAUAGACCAUGUUGUUUAACAACAUGAAUGGACUUAAUACCAUCGAACUGUACACUUGAAAAUGGUCAAUUUUAUGUUAUGUGUAUGUUACUACAAUUAAAAAAAUUUUAAGAGACUGGAAGGAGGGAGGAACUGGGAGUGACUGCUAACAGGUACAGGGUUUCUCUUUGGGGUGAUGGAAAUGUCCUCGAAUUAGAUGGUGGUGAUGGUUAUACAACCUUCUGAAUAUACUGAAAACCACUGAAUUGUACACUUUAAAACUAGGAAUUUUUGGCCAGGUGCAAUGGCUCACGCCUGUAAUCCCAGCACUUUGGAAAGCUGAGGCAGGUGGAUCACCUGAGGUCAGGAGUUCAAGAACGGCCUGGCCAACAUGAUGAAACUCCAUC